rnacentral:rRNA from 1 species
AGACUCUGUGCGCGUGCAUAUCAAUAAGCGGAGGAAAAGAAACUAACUAGGAUUCCCUUAGUAACGGCGAGUGAAGCGGGAAGAGCUCAAAUUUGAAAUCUUCAAGGUUCUACCUUGACGAAUUGUAGUUUAAUAGAAGUGUUUUCUGUUAGUAGAGUUGGCUAAAAGUUCUUUGGAAUAGGACAUCAUAGAGGGUGAGAAUCCCGUAUUUGGUCAUUCCUUUCUAGCUUUGUGAUACACUUUCAACGAGUCGGAUUGUUUGGGAAUGCAGUCCGAAAAUGGGUGGUAAAUUUCAUCUAAAGCUAAAUAUUGGCGAGAGACCGAUAGCGAACAAGUACCGUGAGGGAAAGAUGAAAAGAACUUUGAAAAGAGAGUUAAACAGUACGUGAAAUUGUCAAAAGGGAAGCGUUUGACACCAGUGUUGUUUUCUCGAAAAUCAAUUAAAAAUGAUGGGAUUUUGUGUUGUAUUGACUUUAUCAGCUUUCUGCACUUUUUUUCUUAUCUUUUUUAAUGCACUUUUCGUUUAACAAGUCAACAUCAAUUUCUUUUGUUGUAAAAAGGUCAUUGGGAGGUGGCUUUCUUUUCGGAGAAAGUGUUUAUAGCCUUUGAUCCCUGCAAUCGGAGAGACUGAGGUCUGCAGCGUAGAUCCUUCGGGGUUAGAUACAUUUGUGCUAAGUUAUAGCUUUUUAUAGACAACUUGUUGACUAUAUUUAGUCUUGUAGCUUACUCGCUUAUGCUAUUUUACCUACGCUUAGGAUGUUGAGUCGUAGAGCACGCAG